rnacentral:rRNA from 1 species
UACAGAGGGUGCAAGCGUUGUUCGGAAUUAUUGGGCGUAAAGAGCUUCUGAUGAGCGGCUUUGUCAGUCGGGUGUGAAACCUCCAGGCUCAACCUGGAGCCGCCACCCGAUACUGCAAUAGCUAGAGUCCGGUAGGGGAGCAUGGAACUCCUGGUGUAGCGGUGAAAUGCGCAGAUAUCAGGAGGAACACCGGUGGCGAAGGCGGGUCUCUGGGCCGAUACUGACGCUGAGGAGCGAAAGCGUGGGGAGCGAACAGG